ACACUGCUGAGGAGUCCCAAAAUAGGACGAAACGGCCGUCCAGUAC
rfam:Schistosoma margrebowiei strain Zambia genome assembly, scaffold: SMRZ_scaffold0002477